rnacentral:tRNA from 1 species
ACCUCUAUAGUGUAGUGGUUCUACACUAGGGAGUUCUGUAUAGGUUAGCAUAUAGAUCGCUGGUUCGAAUCUAGCUAGAGGCA